ensembl:lncRNA
CCGGGCUGGUGAGAAGUGAGUCAGCGCCCCGGGCGAGCUGAGCUGUGAGGGACGAGAGUCCCGGGCCGCGCGGGGCGCGGGGAGCGCCCGGCCUUCUCGGCACGUGAGACAGGACCCCCGUUGGGUUCUGUCUGCUCCAGCCGCUGGCUGCGUCUCUGACCCCUGCACCCUAACCAGGAGAGCUCAGAGCUGGGUAUUUUUUGUUUAAGAUCGAAGUAGAGUUGGUUUACAACACUGUUCAUCUCGGGCGUACAGCACACCUCUGGGACAAAGCAGGAAGUAACAGAAAGCCUCUCACAUACUGUUCAGCAAAGUGCCCUGGUCGUUUUGAGGCAGAAGCUCUUGUAUGACUGAGCUACAAACCCAUCUCGCCAGCAGGUAACUGUGGUUAUUCCAACCAGGGUGUUUGGCAGACAUUCCCCCAAAUAGGGUGAGCCUGUCUCUUCAGGUCCAGGGACUAAGACUCCAAGCUUCCACUGCAGGGGGUGCGAGUUCAAUCCCUCAUCAGGAACUAAGAUUCCCGAGUGUCUUGAGGCGCGGCCAAAAAAAUCAGCAAGUAAACAACUGACAAUAUUUAUGGCCAAUUCAAGCUUUCAAAAGAAAAUUCAAACAUUGUGAAACUUUCUGCCCCAUGACGUUUACAGCUUUCCUACUCCUGGAUUUUUCUGAUGAAUGUUAGCAGAUAGAAUCCACAUAAGCAAAGUCUCCGGGGGUUCUGCGCAUUCGUGGGUGAAGGAGGGGAUAACAGCCACAAGAGAAGGUCAUAAGCAGAGCCACUUUAGCUCCCAGGUGGAGGAUCUGGAAGACCGAGACUGCUGAUCUCUGUU